rnacentral:rRNA from 1 species
GACGAACGCUGGCGGCGUGCCUAAUACAUGCAAGUCGAACGCUGAAGGAGGAGCUUGCUUCUCUGGAUGAGUUGCGAACGGGUGAGUAACGCGUAGGUAACCUGCCUGGUAGCGGGGGAUAACUAUUGGAAACGAUAGCUAAUACCGCAUAAGAGUAGAUGUCGCAUGACAUUUGCUUAAAAGGUGCAAUUGCAUCACUACCAGAUGGUCCUGCGUUGUAUUAGCUAGUUGGCGAGGUAACGGCUCACCAAGGCAACGAUACAUAGCCGACCUGGGAGGGUGUUCGGCCACACUGGGACUGAGACACGGCCCAGACUCCUACGGGAGGCAGCAGGAGGGAAUCUUCGGCAAUGGACGGAAGUCUGACCGAGCAACGCCGCGUGAGUGAAGAAGGUUUUCGGAUCGUAAAGCUCUGUUGUAAGAGAAGAACGAGGGUGAGAGUGGAAAGUUCACACUGUGACGGUAUCUUACCAGAAAGGGACGGCUAACUACGUG